rnacentral:rRNA from 1 species
UACGAAGGGGGCGAGCGUUGUUCGGAAUUACUGGGCGUAAAGGGCGCGCAGGCGGCGCGAGAAGUCAGGCGUGAAAGCCCCGGGCUCAACCUGGGAAUAGCGCUUGAUACUCUCAUGCUGGAGUACGGGAGAGGAGAGUGGAAUUCUCAGUGUAGAGGUGAAAUUCGUAGAUAUUGGGAAGAACACCGGUGGCGAAGGCGGCUCUCUGGACCGUAACUGACGCUGAGGCGCGAAAGCGUGGGGAGCAAACAGG